rnacentral:rRNA from 1 species
AUAGCGUAUAUUAAAGUUGUUGCAGUUAAAAAGCUCGUAGUUGAACCUUGGGCUUGGUCGGCCGGUCCGCCUCAUUGGUGUGCACUGACCCGACCGAGCCUUUCCUUCUGGAUCACUAUAGUGCUUUUUAUUAAGUGCUAUAGGGAGCCAGGACUUUUACUUUGAAAAAAUUAGAGUGUUCAAAGCAGGCAUACGCUCGAAUAUAUUAGCAUGGAAUAAUAGAAUAGGACGUACGGUUCUAUUUUGUUGGUUCUCUAGGACCGUCGUAAUGAUUAAUAGGGACAGUCGGGGGCAUCAGUAUUCAAUUGUCAGAGGUGAAAUUCUUGGAUUUAUUGAAGACUAACUACUG